AGAACAUGCACUACCUGAGAAAAGAUGGUAUCCCACUGGUUCUCAAAGUGCUGUAUUUGGACCAGCAGGAUCGGCAUUGCUUGGAAACUUACUAGAAAUGCAAAUUCUCAAGCCCACCCCAGAGCUACUAAAUUAGAAGCUCUGGGGGUGGAACCAGCAGUGGUGAUUUAACAAGGCCUCUUCAGGUCGGUAAGCAGAGUGGGCUCCAAAGGCAGGAGAAAGUUGCAGCAAAAGAGAUGCACACUCACAUUUGGAAGACAAGCUGGCCACAAGCAACCCUGAUGGUGGGGCGGAUGCUGGCACAACUUGUCAGAGGCUGGCAGCUGGUGUGCAGACCAAAGCCUAGUGAACCUGGGGCCUAAAUGUCAACGUGUGGCUAUCAGGACAGGAAUAAAGGCAUUGAUGUAACACUGGUUUUUGUUUUGUGUGUGUGUUUUUCUGAAGGGCAAGGUGGAUAUACUAAAAAAUGAAUUUUAAAAACAUUAAGCCCUAAUCCCACCUUCAGAACAAGUGGCUUUUCAAAAUAACUAAAAGGGUAGAACUGGAAUGUUUCUAACACAAAGAAAUGAUAAAUGCUUGAGGCGAUAGACAUCCCAAAUACCCUGAUUUGAUCAUGACAAUAUUGUAUGUUUGUAUCAAUAUUUCACAUGUACUCCAUAAAUAUAUGCAACUAUUAUGUAUCCAUAAUAAUUAAAGAUAAAUCAAUAUUUUAAAGUUCCUCAUUUGUUUUAGAUCCUUCGUUUAAAAAAACUGAGAAAAAAGGAGUUGCUUUUUUUCCCUCCUGGCUAGUGUAAAAACUAACACACAUUUACCUUUCAAUUAAAAUCUCAAGACCCUUUGCAUGUGGUACAUGCACCAAAUGCAUACAUUAGAACUGAAUUAUGGAAAAACACAAGAGAAUGACAUUGAUUUAUGCACUUCCAUUAGAUAGAGUGUUAGUUAACAAUUCAAAACAAACAGAUACCUUAAGUCUGUCAAGAAAAGAGCAUUUUAGUUGAAGAGCAAAG
rnacentral:lncRNA from 1 species